rnacentral:sRNA from 1 species
GCAGCUCAGCUGGUUCCGGCUGGGGAAGAUGGCGGUAGCUGGGGCGGUGUCCGGGGAGCCGCUGGUGAACUGGUGCACCCAGCAGUUGCGGAAGACUUUCGGCCUGGAUGUCAGCGAGGAGAUCAUUCAGUGAGAACAGUUCGGGUCCAAGCGGGGAAGGAGCUCUGGGAUGUGCACUGCCUGAGCGAACCGGGAAGCGGGGAGGACUGAAAAGGAAAUGAAGGCAAAAAAGGUCAAUUCAUAGAAGAACUUAUAACCAAAUGGCAAAAGAAUGAUCAGGAGUUGAUUUCUGAUCCUUUGCAGCAGUGCUUCAAAAAAGAUGAAAUUUUAGAUGGGCAGAAAUCAGGUGACCAUCUAAAGCGGGGUAGGAAGAAAGGGAGAAACAGACAGGAAGUUCCUGCAUUUACGGAACCUGACACGACUGCAGAGGUUAAAACACCUUUUGAUUUGGCCAAGGCACAAGAGAACAGCAACUCCGUAAAAAAGAAGACAAAGUUUGUCAAUUUAUACACAAGAGAGGGACAGGACAGGCUUGCAGUCCUGCUCCCUGGUCGCCACCCUUGUGAUUGCCUGGGCCAGAAGCACA